GAUGAACGCUGGCGGUAUGCUUAACACAUGCAAGUCGAACGGGGUUCAUAGUCACCUAGUGGCGGACGGGUGAGUAACGCGUGAGAAUCUGGCCUCAGGUCCGGGACAACCACGGGAAACGGUGGCUAAUACCGGAUGUGCCAUAUUGGUGAAAGAUUAAUUGCCUGAGGAUGAGCUCGCGUCUGAUUAGCUAGUUGGUGGGGUAAAGGCUUACCAAGGCGACGAUCAGUAACUGGUCUGAGAGGAUGACCAGUCACACUGGGACUGAGACACGGCCCAGACUCCUACGGGAGGCAGCAGUGGGGAAUUUUCCGCAAUGGGCGAAAGCCUGACGGAGCAAUACCGCGUGAGGGAGGAAGGCUCUUGGGGUGUAAACCUCUUUUCUCAGGGAAGAAGAAUGACGGUACCUGAGGAAUCAGCAUCGGCUAACUCCGUG
rnacentral:rRNA from 1 species